rnacentral:rRNA from 1 species
AUUGAACGCUGGCGGCAGGCCUAACACAUGCAAGUCGAGCGAGCGGCGGACGGGUGAGUAAUGUCUGGGAAACUGCCUGAUGGAGGGGGAUAACUCCUGGAAACGGUAGCUAAUACCGCAUACCAUCAGAUGUGCCCAGAUGGGAUUAGCUUGUAGGUGGGGUAAUGGCUCACCUAGGCGACGAUCCCUAGCUGGGCUGAGAGGAUGACCAGCAACACUGGAACUGAAACACGGUCCAGACGCCUACGGGAGGCAGCAGGGGGGAAGAUUGGACAAUGGGCGAAAGCCUGAUGCAGCCAUGCCGCGUGUGUGAAGAAGGGGUUCGGGUGGGAAAGCACUUUCAGCGGGGAGGCGUUACCCGCAGAAGAAGCACCGGCUAACUCCGUGCCAGCAGCCGCGGUAAUUC